ACUCUUGUAUUGAUUUCUGUUCUUAACUAUUCUUAUUUUUAUCCAUCUACUUUGAAAUCCUUGCAUCUCUGUAUAAGUGAGAAAGACUGAUAAUAAUCUCUGCUGCUGAUACUGCUGUUGAAGCAGCUACUGUAUAUUAUAAAUCUGUGACAUAAGUCAGAGCUUAUUGAAUAAGAACUGAAGAAAUGCAGAAAUGGAACAAUUCUCAACUGAGACUACUAUGAGAUCACAUAACUGCUCAUUUUAAUCACUGUGUUUAUUAUAAUCAUCAAUAAGUAAAGUGAGUAAGUGAGCAGAGUGAGUAAGAUAAUUUGUAUGAGAACUCAAAUGUAUUUAAACACACUCAUUACUC
rnacentral:sRNA from 2 species